ACGGGCAGGAAGGAACGAAGGAGUUGCGCGCGCGCGUGCUGAGAACAGGACGCGCAACGAUAGCUUUUCGUAGCUCAGAGCACUGUAGGCGGUGUGUCUCGGAUCAGCGGUCGUUCAACACGCUCAUUUCCUUCGUUCGCUCGUAAUCCGGUUGUGACUUAGUACGUGAGUGCGUGCGUGCGUGCGUACGUGCCGGCAGUCGCAUCUUUCGUCUCGCGUUCAGCUCUCGGUGACGCGCGCGGUCGCGCCGGUCAACGAUGUAGGCAUACACACGCGAGGAAAACGCGCGAGCGCGCCGGCGCGGUGGGAGGGUCCAGGGGCGGGGAGAGGAGGCGAGGCGCUCGAGCUCGGCGAACGGAACGGCCGGUGGCGGCGGAAGAACUGUUCUUCUUCUCGGUCGCGACGAGGCGGCCGAUGUCAAACAUGCGGCGACGAAUUUUCUGCGCGAGCAGCUCGACGACGACGGCAUCGCGAACGACGAAGGCAACGCGGACGACGAGAACGACGACGACGACGACGACGAGGAGAUCGGGAAAGACGACGAUAACGGCGAAUUGGCGACGGCGCGCCACGGCUGUGUUUUGCUGCCAGUGAAAGCAUACACUCACGCGCGCGCACGUAAACACGCCGAGCAUACGACACACACACAUAUAUAUAUAUACACACACACAACGCGCCACACACACACAUACACACGCACCGGUGCGCGGCUGCCGAUGAGCGCGGAUAUAUGGCGGCGCGAGUACUCUUGCUGAGCGUCUUGAUUACGGAAGUGUUGAAGCCCGCUUGUGCCGCAGGUGUUAAAGGUAUCGGGGGAAACUUCGGUGGUAGAAACGUGUCCAAACCAGAUAUCUCCGACGCCGGUCCGACUAAAGGCGCUGGGUUAACAUUGGAAAUUCAACCUAGUGGCCAUGUGAUACUAGGAAAGAAGGGGAUCACGCUCACCUGCACAGCUAGUGCCAAUGAGAAUAUAACCUGGCUUCACAAUGGAAUACGAGCGCCUCCAUGUGGUCUUACUCGCUGUGUUCUUCUUAAAAAUGGCUCUCUUCACUUUCACAAGAAACAAAAUUUACAAAUGCAAAAGUUCAAAGAGAAGGAAAGGAAUAGUAUUGUUAACGCUAGAAACCAUAAUGAAGAGGAAUAUCGCUGUGUAGCAAAUAAUAGUUUAGGAGAGCUGGUGCGAUCAGCUCCUACAUUUAUUCAGAUAGCAGAACUUGCCCAUGUAUUUAAAGAAUCGCCCGAAAAUAUUACUGUUCGAGAAGGCGAAGUCGCAAGAUUUUCUUGCUUGAUAGACAGUGUUCCUUUCCCACCCAAUAUUACAUGGCAACAUAAUGAAACAUUGUUGUCUUACCAUAAUGAAUCAAAGUAUUCCGUGGUACCACCAGGUGUUCUGUAUAUAAGUGCAACGAAACUAUCAGAUGCUGGCUCAUAUAGAUGCAUAGUCACUAAUGAAUUUCUAAAGAAGACCAAAAAGAGCAGAGAAGCAAAAUUAACGGUUAUCCCGAAAGCAAAGAGCAACAAAUCGCAUACCCCAUCGUCUUUGUUUCCGCAAAUAUCGUACAAUCAUUGGCUGCUUAACGGCUCAAGUCUGAAUUUAGCAUGCGCCGCAUCUGGUUAUCCAUCGCCGCUCAUAACAUGGUCGUUUAUUCCUCGUUACAUAGAUAAUGUUACGCAACCUCGCAUUCUCCUUAAUUCCACUACCGGCAUUGGUAUACUGUCGCUGAGAAACGUCAAUGCUUCCAAUGCCGGUGUCUACUUGUGUUCUUCGAAAAAUUCGAUCACCAAUGACUUAGAAGUACAGAAUAUAACCGUAGACAUAUUGAUACCGCCGUCGUUUAUGAAAACGCCGACGAACCAAAUUUGUCCGAAUGGGAGGACAGCGAGGUUCGAGUGUCAGGCGCAAGGAUCACCCGUACCUCAAAUUUAUUGGCUGAAAGACUCGUCAAAUAUUACUAUCAAUGGUCGCAGAACGACUUAUGUUAAGGAAUACAAUAAAAUAGAACUAGCAAUAUCGGCAACAGUGCCGAACGAUACUGGCAUAUACCAGUGCGUGGCGGUGAAUCCAGCGGGUGAAAUUUGGGCUGCUGGCCGGCUCCAAGUAAAUACGUCGCGCAAUAGUCCCGCUGCGCCCACUUCUCUAAAAUGUCAUGCCGUUUCACCAGUUAGAAUCUUAAUUUCUUGGGAACCACCAAAGUCUCUACCAUAUACCAGUAUUACAGCUUAUACCGUCCAUUAUAGUCCUGUAGAGGGUGGUAAGGAGGAAGUUUCCCCACCGGAACCAGGAAACUCUACAUCCGUAGAAGUAACAAAGCUUCUCGAACCGUUUACAAAUUACUCGUUCUACGUACGAGUGUGGAAUAAUUAUGGUGCUAGCGAUCAAUCGGCUACCAUUCUGUGUUCCACCGCUCCAAGUGUUCCUAAAGGCGCACCAAAAAUAAAUGUGGAUAUAAUCAGUAGUACAAAGCUAAAUGUAUCAUGGGAGCCUUUGAGUAAGAAGGAAUCUCGUGGCGUUGUGGUAGAAUAUAAACUUCAGUGGAGACUUCACCAACACCCAUCUUCCAAACUACUCGAACUACCUGCUAUUAUCGAAAACUAUAUACUUUCUGACCUGAUACCUGGAGCACAAUAUGAUCUACGAGUGUUGGCGAGAACAAAGCAAGGCUGGUCGAACAUUAGCGAGACGCAAUUUGAGUGGGUCACUGUGACCAUGCCGUCACCUGAAACUAAUCAAUUUACUAUAAGGAACGUUGUGGAUAUUCAAGUACUAAUAGUGAACGCUUCAUUAGUUAAGAUGAAAUGGAAAAUAAACUUCAAGCAGAACGAAUCGGACUUCGACUCCUGGCAGAUAUACUGUGAAAAUCAAGAUGGUGAAAAAUUGAAAACUAUUUUUCUGCCACAGAACAUGACUGAGUAUCUGUUCACUAAUCUUGAUAUGAAUGUUUCUUAUACAAUGGGUCUGUGUAUGGUGAGUUCGGGUCACACAACAGGUUGCUUGACAAAACACAUAGAAACCACGCAAUUUGAUUCUAGUGAUGUACCAAUGGCUCUGGAGGCCAUUCCUGUCUCACCCACGUCCAUUAAUGUAACGUGGACAUUGUUGGACACACAUAUUGUAGAUUCGUUCGAGCUUUGUUAUCACGCAGUGCAUGUACAAAAUUCCGACAAUUUCCAAUGUUUUAUCAUAGACGAUACGAAGGCAAACGUUGAUAAGCUGAAGCCUUUUACAUUAUACCAGUUCAAAGUGAGAGCUAUUAGACACGACAUGAAUGAGACCAGUCUCUAUAGCGAGUCUAUAGAAUGCUACACGAACGAAGAUGUUCCCGGCAAAGUUGAGAAAGUGGAGUGGUUCUUGGGGAACAAUACCAAGGUACGAAUCGCGUGGAAAGAGCCGAGUAGUGUGAACGGAGUCAUACAGAGUUACUUUGUCGCGUAUACCAUGGACUUGACGGAGACAACGGUGACAUGGGGUAACGUGACUGUGCCUGGUAACAAAACGUCGACGACUCUACCGGGUUUGGCGCCAGGGAAACGUUAUUUCGUUGUGGUGCAAGCGGCGACGAGAGCCGGAUACGGGAAGCCGUCGGAUCCUAUUAUUAUUAUCACUGGUGGUGGCGCGUCGAGACCUACCUCGUCGGACAAGAAAGAGCCCUCGCAAAAUAUCAGUCCCGAUCAGAGUCUAGGUGUGGUUCUUGGAGUGAGCAUAAGCAUCGGCUUCAUCAUGAUAUGCCUAUGCAGUAUAUAUUGCCGGCGCAAGUACGAGAAUUCCCGCUCGUUCCGCAACGACGCUCAGCCUACGAAUGGGCGCGUACUGUCGCGGAACGGAAACGGAUGCUGCGUGGAGCAGUCUUCCGCAUCCGCAAGCCAGCAGGUAAACGCUAUUGGUGGUGCACCGAAUGAGAUCGAACUAGCCGUGCUAUGUCCGUCGUCCCCGAUCGAGACAAAUCCGCAUUCCGAUGCAAAGGGUGCACAAUCCAAUGGAGUUUUUGAGAAUUGCGUGAGAGAACCUCUUUUGUCGCCGUGGGAGAUAAACGGAGACUCGAAAGAUGUUCACAUCAUGGAGAACCCUCAGUACAAAAGAAGAGGUAGUUCCACCUCAGAUCAGCAGGAUGAGGAGGAGGACAGAGAGGAGCCAGAUUUAGAAGGCACACAGCUCACAAUGGUCAAUUGUACUUUAGGCAGUAGCGCUAGCAGUCUAAAUAACAACUCAGGAUGCCCGGACGGGGAGAUUGCAUCGCCGAAGGCCGCGUGCUUGUCUGUCCCAGCGCUCGGACCGAACGGGUGAAAAAGCGCGUUUAGGCAAUACGCUAAAAGUGUUCAAUACUUCUCACCGGGUCUAUCGGGUCGCAUCAGGUAGGAGUACAUGAAUUCUCCCUUUUCCUCAUUCACACACAGCUGACACACAGCAAGUCGGUCGAUUCUCUCGAUCGAGACGCGGGAGAACGCAACGAGAAAUUCCGGCAUUCCUGAAAAAGAAAACAAGAGCAAUGCAAUAGAAGAAACACCAUCACCUCUUCGCAGUUUCGAAGCGCGCUUUCUAGCUCGCCAACAAGGACGACAUCGUCUGAUACAUACAUCCACAACCUACGGCCGAUGUAAAUAAUACCGUUUCGGAAAAUCCGAAUUCCUUCAGGAAUCAAAGUUGGAUUUCUUUCGCGUUUAAAGUUGAUCAUGUAUCGCGCGCGAUGAGAAGUGUUUGUGAAGCAACUUCGAAACUAUUUACCAGAAUUACUCUCGGCAUUGACGGUGUGAAACCAAACCGGUGUGUCGUGAGGAGAAGAAUUAGGAAACCUCGAUCGUUCCUCGGUGAGAGAAACGUCAAGAGAUUAUGGUCAAACGUGGGAUGAUGCUCCUUGAUGAUUGUUGAAAAUACGCGGCGGUGCGAUAAGAAGUCAUAAUAGGCAGGUCCGGACUUGAUUCUUAGCUGAGGCAAUAUUACUCUUAAUAAUAGUGGGAUCUGGAAUAGAAUUGGUGAGUAUAAUUAUUAAUGCAGAAGUCGGGAACUAGUUCAAUUAAAUUUACAAUUGGAUAGUCCAGAUAAAUCACUCGAAAAGGACGCAAGAUUUUUGGAACAUGAAAUUUAUCUUUUCGCGAUUAUAAAAAGAUAUUAACACCCGUACCAUAAUCCAAUUUUGAUGCAUAACUACUAGAUCACUACUAGAAACAAUCAUUACGUAUCCCGUGGUUUUAUCACAUUUAUGGUGGUCUGACAGCGACAACGUUUGAUCCUUUCUUUAUAGCUGGCCACACAUAAGACUAAAUUUUUCUCGGUCUCGUGGAAUUGGCACAUUCAUUCCAACCCUUUUGUAUUCUUUGAAGGAAAUUAAGAUCAAUAACAACACUCAAGACUAAAGUUCUUUCCACUUUGUAUCAGAUCCUUUUCAAUGUGUCUGAUAGAACAAUGCUUUAUAACUUCACUGGCAAAUUUCUGCAUUAUUUGGACGAUUAAUUGAGAACUUUGUAUGUGCGUAUCAACACCCACGUUAGACUAUUGUCGUCUCGCGUCUCUUGCAGAUUUCGAUCUCACGGACGAUCGCAUACACGUUUGUAUUUUUGAUCGAUCGAUCGCGCGAUUAAUAUUACACAGCGGAAAUUCGAGAAGCUACGCUUUCACAUUAUUAUAUAAUAUUCUACAUUUCGAAAAUAAAACAAAAAGUAUAUGUACAUAUAUAAAUAUAUAUAUCUACAGCGUGCGUGAUGAAGAAUGACUUUUUAAAGAAGCUAUCGAUUAUAUCAAAAACAGAUCAUCAAAAGAGAUUAAUUUCGAAGAGAGAAAGAGAGAGAGAUAUACGUCGAAUGAAAAUAUAAGCCAGAGGAAAAGUAUAUGUAAUAAACGCUAAACGCUUUUUUAGCUAUUUCACUCGUUCUUUUCUUGUUUCACACACGCUUAGAUGAUAAUCAGUCAGGCAGAGUUGUACGAGUAUUUUUCCAGAAAUGAGUUUUACAUACGCUUAUCACAAAACUAUUCUCAUACGUUUUCGUUCUUUUCUUUCUUACGUCUCUUACAUAGCAUAAUGUGCGUAAUCACUACACUACUCUUCCCAUAACCGUAACACUACGUGUAUCCGAUUGUAUACAAUUCCGCAGACACUUUUGAUUCCAUAUAUCGCGCUGCAUCGUCAAUAUUAACGAAAAAAAAAUACCACCCUGCGGAGAAAGAAGAGUAGUAGUCGCAGCGGCGUAGAAACGCCCCAAGCCACUCAGCAAUCAAUAAUUUAUAAUCGAACACAAUCAACAUUUCGUACUGCAUUUACAUACCAUGUAACGUUCUCGAAUAAUUUCAUGGAUGUGAUAAGUUUUAGGUGUGAACUGACUAUAGAGUCGCCGUGCCGAGAGAGAUAAACAGAGCAUCAAUUGUACGGGGUUACCCUCUGGAGGUGUCGAGAACUAUUGUCACCGCGAGGCUGUUUAUGAACAAACGGAGACGAGUUUUCUUUUCUCGCAUUUUGAUUAGUACAUCGAGCUUCUUCUUCGUAUCACUGCCAAAAUAUCGUUAAAUCCAACUUUGUAACAGGUAGUAUCAGCAAAGCUCCGUCAUUAUUUUUCUACUUUUGUACUGCUGUUAGUUGAAUUACCAUUUUAAAUAAAAAAAAAUCGCUAUUGAGACUGAGAAACAGCGGCUCGUCGUGACGCCUCAAGCGGGACAUUCCGUACACGUGUGUAAGAUCCAUUAACAUAACAUUACCUUAGUACGUACAAAAGCAAUAAGCAUCGUCAUGUAUAUUAUGCGUCGAAAGUGUAACACGAUAUCAUAGAUGUAAUGAUACCUUAUAUCAUUUCUCAUCAUCGAUAUUUUGUAUAUUCAUCAGAUCGCUGUUUACAUUGUAAUUAAUUUUCCGGAGCAAAUCAGUACGAUCGUUAUCGUGAUAACACAGAGCCGAUCAUCUUCGUUCACUUCUUAACACUCACUACUUUAUUAAUUUAGGAAUAUCGACAAUGCGGCAGCCAAAGAGAGAAACAUCUUAUCGUCAUUCGAAUUAUCGCGUUUUCAUGAAUGAAGCUGAUAUUAAGCGCCAUUCGGCUAGUUUCUCUAUUAUGCAUACACACAUUCUUUUUACGCGAAGUACGAUAUAACAGCGGAACCGUCUAACUUGCGCGAGUGACUCGUGCUCGGUUAAACGGCUCUGAUGUAAUAAAUAUACAUCUACACACAUACACGUCCGACGAGAGAACUGUUUUGUCGAGCAUGCAGUAGCGAGUAUUAAUUGUAUCGUACGGCGGCUCUAGUCGAACGAAUAUACCUCCGUAAUCGUCGCUCCUCGCGGAGUGAUUUACAUUACUUAAUUUUAACUUAAUCUCGGUACCUAUUAGGCUAUUAUUUUUACAAUUUUAUUACGCAGUUUACCUCACGCAGAAUAUGUUGUCACAUGCCCAGUGAGUGUAUGUAUACAUAUAUAUACAUAAAUAUGUACAUACAUAUGUAUGUAUAUAUGUAUAUAUCACGCCCAAGACAUUACACUUUAUUUUACAUAUAAUAUAUACAGAAGAAGAGAAUUCGGUAAUUCUAUUCAUUUGUAUUAUUAUCGUUAAUUAUAAUAAUUAUUACGUAUUAAGAGAAAACUUUAUUAACUUAUUUUCCGCAAACCCUCAUCUCUCAUCCUUCUUCUUUUUUGACGACAUUUAGAUUGAUUAUUCUAUAUAUUGCGACGAUUAUAUAUAUUGACGUUUUUAGGGUGGUUACUUGUAUAUACCUUUAUCUACGAUUGUGUAUAUAUAUAUAUAUAUAUAUAUAUAUAUAUAUAUAUAUAUACACAUAUAUA